rnacentral:rRNA from 1 species
AGCGAACGCUGGCGGCAGGCCUAAUACAUGCAAGUCGAACGGCUCUUCGGAGCAGUGGCGGACGGGUGAGUAACGCGUGGGAAUGUGCCCUUUGGUACGGAACAACACAGGGAAACUUGUGCUAAUACCGUAUGUGCCCUUCGGGGAAAGAUUUAUCGCCAUUGGAGCAGCCCGCGUUGGAUUAGGUAGUUGGUGAGGUAAAGGCUCACCAAGCCUACGAUCCAUAGCUGGUCUGAGAGGAUGACCAGCCACACUGGGACUGAGACACGGCCCAGACUCCUACGGGAGGCAGCAGUAGGGAAUCUUGCGCAAUGGGCGAAAGCCUGACGCAGCCAUGCCGCGUGUAUGAUGAAGGUCUUAGGAUUGUAAAAUACUUUCACCGGGGAAGAUAAUGACGGUACCCGGAGAAGAAGCCCCGGCUAACUUCGUGCCAGCAGCCGCGGUAAU